UGUCCAUGUAAAUUAUGCGUGAAUAGGUUGCAUCAACUGGAGGAAGAAGUAGAACUUCACAUUGUGAAGAAUGGUUUUGUUAGCGAUUUCAAAACUUGGGUAUAUCAUGAAGAAAUUGAAGGUCUCAUUAAUGCAGAUGAAGAAGAACAAGAAGAAGUCAACUUGUUUCUCGAUGAGGAAAUGGAGGAAAUGGUUGAGGUAGCUCUUGGUAACACUAACCCUGCUGAAGAUCCUCCUUUCAGAGGAGGACAUCAUGAAGAUAAUUAUGAUAAAUACAUGAAUGAUGCUAGGAGGCCCAUUUAUGAGAAUGCAAAACACUCCACGUUGUCAUGGUUCGUCCAUCUAUUCCAGAUUAAAUGUCUAAAUAAAUGGAGCAACAAGUCAUUUAUGAUGCUCCUCAAGUUUCUUAAAGAUUCUAUGCCUCUUGGGAACCAUGUGCCUGAGAGCUGGUACGAAGCUCAAAAGAUAAUGUCUAAUCUGGGUCUGAAGUGUGAGAUGAUACAUGCAUGUCCUAAUGAUUGUAUACUUUAUUGGAAAGAAAAUUCAGAUAAGACGGAGUGUCCUACUUACGGAGAGGCUAGAUAUAAGAAAGUACAUGGUCAGAAGAAGGAUAUACCUAUCAAGAUAGUACGAUACUUUCCCAUUACACAGAGGCUGCAGAGGCUAUUCAAGUGUAAGAAGACAGCAGUGGCGAUGACUUGGCAUCACCGUGCACGUCCAAGUGAAAAUGGACGAAUGAGUCAUCCUAGAGAUAUGCCUGCAUGGAAGGAUUUUGACAGUAGACACUCAACAUUUAGUCAGGAACCUCGCAAUAUCAGGCUGGGAUUGGCUAGUGAUGGCUUUUGCCCCUUCAGCUUUAAGGGCAAUCCCCACAGCACAUGGCCAGUUGUGAUGAUGGUUUAUAACCUCUCACCGUAGUUAGCUAUGGACCAAUCAUAUUUCAUGAUGCCUCUUCUUAUUAAUGGUCUAAAGUCACCGGGAAACAAUAUUGACGUCUAUCUUCGACCUCUUAUCGAAGAGUUAAAGUCUUUAUUCAUCGAUGGUGUGGAGACAUACGAUGCGGACACAGGGACAAACUUCACCAUGCGUGCAGCCUUAAUGUGGACAAUCAAUGAUUUUCCUGCGUAUGGAAUGCUAUCUGGUUGGUCUCUACAUGGUUACACUGCAUGUCCUUACUGUCAUCUCCAGACAACAUCGAGAAGACUACCCUUUAGCAAUAAGACUUGUUAUUACAGUCAUCGGCGUAUGUUGGAUGAAAAUCAUCCGUACAGAGAUGACAUCAUCCACUUUGAUGGUACUAAAGAGAAUCGUCCACGUCCAGACCCAUUAUCCGGAGAGGAUAUACUUGCUCAAUGGAAUGGUAAAAACAAUGUGACUUUCGGAAAAGUUAAGGGAAGGCAAGAAGCAACACAGGGAUGGAACAAAAAAAAUAUCUUCUUUGAACUACCAUACUGGAAGACAAAUAAAGUGCGGCACAAUCUAGACGUCAUGCACAUUGAGAAGGGAGUAUCUGAGCACAUACUUAACUUACUUCUCUGUAAAGAUGGAAAAUCAAAAGAUAACCUCAAAGCUCGAAGGGAUCUCCAGGCAUGGAAUAUUAGAAAAGAGUUACAUCCUAUACCGAAGGCAGGAAAUCCUGACCAAUUUGUACUCCCCAAUGCUGUGUAUCACAUGUCACCAGAUGAGAAGAAAAAGUUUCUCCAGGUGUUACAUGAGUUGAAGGUUCCUACGGGGUUUUCAGGAUCAUUUAGUAAGAAGAUAAAGAUUGUUAAAGGCAAGAUCGAAGGGUUGAAGAGUCAUGAUCACCAUAUUAUUAAGGAGAAUCUUCUUCCACUCUCUCUUAGGACUUCUCUCCCUAAAUCAGUCGGUUUAGUGAUCAACGAUUUUUGCAGAUUCUUUCAGGAAUUAUGAGCUAAAAACAUUGAGGAUGAUAAGUUGAAGAAACUAGAGGUUGAAAUUCCCUUAAUUUUGUGCAAGCUUGAGCGAAUUUUUCCACCUUCAUUCUUUGAUAUCAUUAUACACCUGACUGUUCAUCUUGCAACCGAGGCUAGGCUUACCGGACCGGUACAAUAUCGAUGGAUGUACCCCAUUGAAAGGUACCUUUAGUUUUUCAGUUAUCGUAAUCAAUAUAUUUUUAUUUUAUAGCUUGGAUGCGAUGAUUUAGUGUAAGCUUUUGUAGGUACCUUCUCACUCUGAAAAAUUAUAUUCGUAAUAGAAAUCGACCAGAGGGUUCUAUUAUGGAAGGUUAUCUGCUAGAGGAGGUAACCACUUUUUGUUCUCAUUAUCUGGAUGAAGACAUUGAGACAAAACUCAACAGACCUGUUGUGAUCCAUGACGGACCAUCUAAAAAGACGGAUUACAAUAGAAUGACGUCCGCGUUUAUCAACAAGAUUCAUCACUUUAUCCUUCUCAAUCUCGAAUGCCUUGGAGAAAUUAGAGAAUUACACAAAGAUGAAAUAUGUGCAAUGCAUAGUAAUUGGAAUGAGACACGUGUUGAAACACAUCAUCAGGACAAUUUUUGCAAUUGGUUUAAACAUUAUGUAAGUUUUCUAUUAUCUCAUUUUUGACUCAUUCUAUUAUUUAAUCUAACAUCUUUAUGUAAUUUUCAUAUUAACCUUUUUGUCAGAGCCGAUUACCGGGUAUAGAACCAAUAUUAGAUAAGGAACUUGGAUAUUUGGCUACGUUUCCAGAUGCUGAAGUUAAAUACUAUAAAGGAUUCGGUGUUGGCGGUUACAAGUUUGAAAUCAAGUCUAUAGAAGAACCUCGAACCACCCAAAAUAGCGGAAUUGCAACCCUAGGCACCAAUGGUGAGACAUACUAUGGAUACCUUGAUAACAUACUUGGUAUCAACUAUCCCGGACGAGCAGGAUGCAUUUAUGUCUUCUAGUGUGUUUGGUAUGAUAUGAAGACUGGAACUGGUAAGUGGAGAGACAAUUACGAGUGUAAAUAUGACACGGUUUUCCUUUUAGGACGAUCCAUUUAUAUUUCCAGAACAAGCAUUUCAAGUAUACUACACGAAGUGCUUGAGGCAUUCGGGGUGGAGUGUUGUAUGUCGAUGGAGGCCCAGGGAUACUUACGACGUCCCACAAUUCGUAGAUUCAGAGAUUGUAGAGAUUAAUAAUAACGAAGAAUUUGAGUAGGGAGGAGUUGUAUGUCAAGAUAAAUCUCCUGAGUUUGAUAAAGUUUCGUGGGUUAGGAUUGAUUUGAAUAGUGCAAUACUUGUAGAUAUUCCUACAACUUACAGGGAAUCUGUAGAACCUAACAUUUCUGUAAAGCGAAAAAGGUAACCAUUAUAAAAAUUUAUUUUGAAUUGAGGAAUGAAUUACUAUACGAUGUGCUUUGGAUGUGUGAUUGUCAAAAGAGUUAUGAAUUGCUUUAAUUUUACCCCUUAUUCUCUUUGGCUGUGUUAUAAUAGUUUCAAAUUGUAACAGUAGAGUUUAAGUAUUAAUUAGUUUGGAUUCAUUGUGUGAUUCUAUGCUUGUCAGCUCAUAGUUCUAUCCAUUUCCUUGUUCUGUAGAACCUAACACUUCUGUAAAGCAAAAAAGGUAACCAUUAUAAAAAUUUAUGUUGUUUAAAAUUUAUAUCUUCAAAUUUAUAAAUAUGUCUAUUCGCUUAUAUCUUAUAUGAAUUGUAAAAUUU